GACGUUUGUACUAUAUUCGAGAUGAAUCUCUACGACUUGUUUUGUAUAGUCAAGAAGAAAGAAAAAGGGUUCUUAAAGAAUGUCAUAAUGAUGCUGGUGGGGCACACCAGGGAAUAGUAAGAACUCAAAAUAAAAUUAAAAAUUUGUACUAUUGGAUGUCAAUUACAUCUGAUGUUGAAGCAUGGGUUAAGUACUAUUUGCUUUUUUCGAAGGCUAUAUGUUUAUUUUCUUAAUAAUAUAAAGAUAAUAAACAUGUAACUGUCAUUAUUAAUACAAAAUUUAAAUGCAAUAUUGCAAUAAUAAUGUACACUAUAAAUUGUAUUAUUCUAAUUAAAUAAUAUAUAGUCUAUUAUAGAUAAAGACAUGUAAACAAUGUCAAUCAUUUGAAAAAAUAAAAACAAUUGCGCCACAACUACACCCAAUUCAGGUUACAGAAAGAUGGGCAGUUUUAGAAGUAGAUCUAAUUGGUCCAUUACCGGAAACAGUGAAUGGCAAUAAAUAUGUUUUAACAAUAACAGAUUUGUUUACAAAAUGGAUUGUUGCUAGAGUAUUGCCUGAAAAAUCUGCUGCUGUAGCUAAUGCUUUAGUUAACACUUUUCAUACUUAUGGUUCACCAAAAAAGUAAUUACAGAUCAAGGAAGAGAAUUUGUGAAUGAGCUUAACAAUAAAACUUUUUUGCAUGACGGAUCCCUUCACUGGUUGUUGAUUAGCACACUUGGUUGCAGCAAUAGAGUCGUUAAAAUUUAUGACUCAAUGAAGACAGAAAUGCCAACUUUGCAUGUACAAAAACAAAUUGCUUCAAUUAUAUCAUGUUCUAAAAAUACAGUUAUGUGUCAAUACCAAUCAUGUCAGCAACAAGUUGGAGGAAUUGACUGUGGUUUGUUUGCAAUUGCAUUUGCAGUAGAUAUUUGUAUGGGACAAAAUGUUGCAUCCAUUUCGUACAAUCAAUCUGCAAUGCGCCAGCAUUUACACAAUUGCUUCAAAGCUAAGCAUUUUACAUCAUUUCCGAGAUUAUAUUCAGAAAGUACAGUUAAUAAAUGUGAAAGUUCUACGAUUUUUAAUGUUUGUUAAUGUUCCUCUAAUAUUGAAUUUGAAAAAUUAUUCAGUUUAAUAGAUGUGAAGCAGUCACAAACACAUAUUCAGAUAAAGUUAAUGCAUGAAAAUGUCUGUUGUGUAUUAUUUAAUAGUUUACUUUUAGUAUACCUUUGAUUUA